CAUGUUGAGCAGCUGAGCUGACAUCUCCUCCCUCAGUAUGACAGACAAACUCUCCUUCCUGCUGCUGUCUCUCUGUCUGCCCUGUCUGAGUGGCCAGACUCUGGAGUCCAUUCCCUCCAGUCCAGUACUGAAACAGCCAGGAGAAACUCUCAGUCUGUCCUGUAAGGGAGCUGGGUUUACUUUCAGUAGCUAUGGCAUGCGCUGGAUAAGACAACCAACUGGCAAAGCACUGGAAUGGAUAGGUGCCAUAUGGAGUGAUGCUAGUGGAACUUCUUAUGCAAAAAGUGUUGAAGGAAGAAUAGAAAUCACCAAAGAUAACUCCAAAAGUUUGACGCACAUGAAGUUGUCUGCCCUAAGAGCUGAGGACUCUGCUGUGUACUACUGUGCUAGAGACUCACAGUGAUGUGUGAGAGUGGAUGA